rnacentral:SRP_RNA from 1 species
GCCAGGUGUGGUGGCUCACACCUGUAAUCCCAAGCAUUUUGGGAGGCUGAGGCGGGUGGAUCACUUGAGGUCAGGAGUUCGAGACCAGCCUGGCCAACAUGGUGAAACCCCGUCUCUA